rnacentral:lncRNA from 1 species
CACCGUUCAGCCUUGGGAAGGAGGCUCUCAUUCUGCAGGGUAGAGGCUUGACCUUUUCCUUCCGCCCCCACCCCCGGGCCACCACAGCACCCCCCGAAGACACGGCCUGCCUCCUUCCUCUGUCACCUGCUGACACACAGGUUGGCUGGUGACAUUCAGAGAGUCAAAGAUGGCUUCCUGAGGACAGACCUAGAUGAACAAAACCUGGAAACAGGUGGAAGCGGAGCCCAGCCUGGGGGCUGGGGGGAGGGGGUAAGGAGGGGGGCAGAUGGCCUGGAAAUCUGAGUCAUAGCUCCUCACCACUCCCCCGAGGAUUUGAUGUCCCUUUGGCCAGCAGGCCAUUUUCUCUCUGCAAAACUAUUGAUCCUGCUGCCAAAUGUCCCCUAAGCCUGCCUCCCGCAUCAGUGGGGCGGAAGUGAUAAACUGUAACCAGAGAACACAGAAGCGCUGGCCUGUGGAUGGCCUUGGACGUUUUUAUCAGUAGACCCGGUGCUGGCUGGGCCGCCGACCAGGCAGGACUGACACUGAGCAUGAGGAGGGGACUGCAGCGUUUGGGUUUGCUCACCAAGUCCAGAGCAAGGCACCAGAAAUUCUUGGCUUCCUCCAAACAGCUGCACAGAAGCCUCGGCCGCCAAACCCAUCUUGAGUUUGAUGAGUCAUCUGACGUCAGCCCUGAGCCCACAGCGUCUGGCUCCGGGCUCUUUCUGGAAGAUGAGGAAGCGCCCGCCCUAAGGGCCUCUGGGCGAUUCCAGGUGAGGAAACAGGUUCAGAAAAUGAAACGAUUUGCUCGUGUGCUGCCACGCAUGGCUGAUUGGCACGGAGAUACGGAACUGCAUUCUGACUCCAAAUCCAAUCUCUGUUUUCCACGAACAAUCCAGUCUAUCUUCUCGGGAUGUUUUAAAUGAAAGCCUGUCUAAAUAUUUUGAAGAUUCCUUCACACGACCUGGGUUUUAUGAGGCCUGAAAUGGAUUUUAUCUAAACUUGCACUUCCCGCAGAUGGCCACGAGAUGGCAGGGUAACCCCGACGAUGGGGGGACUGGCGCCCUUCCCUGCACCAGUAGAGGGCAGUAGUUCCCCGUUUGAAAAAAGUGAGAAAUGCAAAAAGAAAAACAAAACAAUAAAACUUCAGGGGCUACCCUGAUGGCAUGGGAUGAUGGGAGGCUUGUUUUUAUUUCGUCCUUUUUCUUUUUUAAGUUAGGCAGUGAGAGUUCAAACAAACACGUCUCCGUGUUCACUGCCGUGUUUGCUUUUGGAGGCAUGAGGUCAGGGCUUGGGCCAGCCGCCUGGUCUGCAUUAUUCAUCUGUCCAGCUCCAGCCCUGGAACAAAUGUGAAGAAAUGAAGUAGCCUCAAUGGAGGGGAAACAGUGUUGUUAUUGUUGCUGGUGACAGUUCUAUUUGCCAACAAACAGAAUAACAUACUUUGGAACCCGGAAUGGGCUUGUCAGAGGCAACUUUUGUUCCAUGUUUGGGCUGGGACGCUUCCAGAUAGAAAUCAGCCUGGCAUUUGAACUUCAGGAGGCAGGGGCAGAGCUGUGGCACAGCAGCCACUGACCUGAAAGGCCGGGCCAUCAGCUGCAGUUUUCAUCUGGGUGUUUGACUGCCAUCCACGUGUCUCCGCGCUGCCAACUGGGUUCACUGCACUGCGGGGGCCGGGGGCAGCAUGCGGUCCAGGACGAGGGACUCUCCACCAAGCAGAUAAACAGACUGUUCUGA